AAAAAGAUCGAACCCGUUGCGUAUCGAACUUGGUUCGAGCUCGAGCAGCGGGUCGAUCCGUGCCA
rfam:Drosophila persimilis strain MSH-3 cont1.003539, whole genome shotgun sequence.